AACGUAGGACACAAGCGUUAUCCGGAGUUACUGGGCGUAAAGGGCGCGUAGGCGGCCCGCUAAGUCGAACGUGAAAUCCCCGAGCUCAACUCGGGAACUGCGUCCGAUACUGGCGGGCUUGAAUCCGGGAGAGGGAUGCGGAAUUCCAGGUGUAGCGGUGAAAUGCGUAGAUAUCUGGAGGAACACCGGUGGCGAAAGCGGCUCACUGGACCUCUUCUGACGCUGAGGCACGAAAGCUAGGGUAGCAAACGGG
rnacentral:rRNA from 1 species